rnacentral:tRNA from 1 species
AUUUAAAUAGUUUAAUAAAAAUAUUGAUUUGUGGUAUCAAAGAUGUAAUAAAUUACUUUAAAUC